AUGCACCUAAAAGGUGAGGAAAAGAGCUUCAAUUCAAGAGAACAAAAGCUGAAAGAGAAGUAAGCGGGCCUGGUGACUGAUAUGGCUGGAGGAUGGCUGGGCUGGUUGCUGUACUUUGGGCAGACUAAGGCACAUGGAUAACAGCAUGGAGAGUGAUAAGUGCCCCAAACUGGCAAAGCAGACCAGAAGAGUCAUCUGUCUGGGGUAGCUGUUUUUUUUGCAGUCAGAUACUCCAGUGUCUCUUCCUCUUCUGCUGCACCACAUUGACCUGAGGAAUCAAGCUCUGCUGCCUGCAUUGCCAGCUGGGUGUGGAGCUGUCCUUCUGCAACUAGCUAACCCUUAACUUUACCUGCUAUAAGCAGAGAGCAGGAUCUGUG
rnacentral:lncRNA from 1 species